GGGGGGGGGGGGGGGGGGGGGGGGGGGGGGGGGGGGGGGGGGGGGGGCCGGGCUGGCGGGGUACGGGGGUGGCGAACGGGUGAGUAACACGUGGGUGAUCUGCCCUGCACUUCGGGAUAAGCCUGGGAAACGGGGUCUAAGACCGGCUAGGCGCCAUUUUUAGGGUGAUGGUUGGAAAGUUUUUUCGGUGUAGGAUGAGCUCGCGGCCUAUCAGCUUGUUGGUGGGGUAAUGGCCUACCAAGGCGGCGACGGGUAGCCGGCCUGCGGGGGUGGACGGCCACAUUGGGACUGAGAUACGGCCCAGACUCCUACGGGAGGCAGCAGUGGGGAAUAUUGCACAAUGGGCGCAAGCCUGAUGCAGCGACGCCGCGUGGGGGAUGACGGCCUUCGGGUUGUAAACUCCGUUCGCUAGGGACGAAGCUUUUUGUGACGGUACCUAGAUAAGAAGCACCGGCUAACUACGUG
rnacentral:rRNA from 1 species